AUCACUUCUCGGCCUUUUGGCUAAGAUCAAGGGUGUAGUAUCUGUUCUUAUCAGUGAAUCCAGUAACAUUAACUGAGACGUUUGGCUCAGAUCUGACAUCAUAUGGUCAAUCUUCUAUUUGCUACAGCAAUUUUC
ensembl:snRNA U2 U2 spliceosomal RNA